GACGGACGCUGGCGGCGCGCUUAACACAUGCAAGUCGAACGGAAAGGCCUGCUUUCCCUUGUGGAUUGCGGGUACUCGAGUGGCGAACGGGUGAGUAACACGUGAGUGAUCUGCCCCCAACUUGGGUAUAAGCCUGGGAAACUGGGUCUAAUUCCCGAUAGGACUGCAGGGUGGUGCCUGUGGUGGAAAACGAUUUUCUAGUGGUUGGGGAUGAGCUCGCGGCCUAUCAGCUUGUUGGUGGGGUAAUGGCCUACCAAGGCGGCGACGGGUAGCCGGCCUGAGAGGGUGGACGGCCACAUUGGGACUGAGAUACGGCCCAGACUCCUACGGGAGGCAGCAGUGGGGAAUAUUACACAAUGGGCGGAAGCCUGAUGCAGCGACGCCGCGUGGGGGAUGACGGCCUUCGGGUGGUAAACUCCUUUCGACCGCGAGGAAGCCACCUGGUUGGAAGGGUGGUGACGGUAGUGGUAGAAGAAGCACCGGCUAACUACGUG
rnacentral:rRNA from 1 species